UUCUGAACCAUUUGUCGGAUGGCAGGUGGGAAAGGUGUUGCUUAAUGCUUUUCUAUAUCCAGGAAUCAAGACACCUUCGCAAAAGAAUUCCCUUGUUGCAGUAUUUCAUACUUCGGGUGAAAAUGGUGCUAAUGAUGAGACUGUCACGGCGCGCACAUUCUUAAUUAGGUUGAAAACGGAGGACGAUCGCAAUAAGCUAGCGACGGCAAUACAAGACUAUGCCCCUGCAACAUGAAAAUUACUACAAAUGGUCAUAACGAAUCACUGCCAAGAUUGGCUUGUAAACAAAUAAGCCAGUCCUAUUUUUGUGGGGCGGACACCAGGAGCUUGGGACUGUGAAAGGAACUAUUGUAUAAACUUAAAGAGGCCGCAGGACUUGUAACAUAAGAGGAGUUUUCUUUUUUCAAGGAACCAACUCAAGAGGUUGAGUUUUAUAUUUUGCUGAAAAAUUUAGUGGUUACAAGCUCUUUCUUUCUUUUAUAUGCACGUGGAUCCUUUUUUUCUUAAUUUGGAAAGUUUUGUAAUUUAAUACAAGUUAAACAACAAUGCACCACUUACCUAUCAUCCUAAAAGAAAAAU